AAAGGCCAUCUUUACAUAGUCAUGAGUGAAAGACCUUCCAUAGACCUUCACGAGAAGAAUAAAGAUACAGCAGUCAACGAAAAUACGUUCACAGAUGUUUUAUAUGAGGCGAUCACUGAUGUAUUGCAAAAAACAAUUCAGGAAAUAAGACAGGAUGUUUUGGAAUACGUUAACCAC